ACUACUUAUGAUUAUUGAUGACAUCAAAGAUUAUGAUGUGUUGGUAAAUGCGACGGUGAGUGGUGUCCUAACUGUGGCGACGGGGGGUAUCUUACCUAUUCUGACAUUGUUUGAGGGAGAAAAUUUAGAAGAAGAAACCUUAGAUGGAGAAAACUUAGAAGACGAAUACUUACAAGAAGGAGAAAACAACUCAGGUGGAGAAAACUUAGAUGGAGAAAACAACCCAGAAGGAGAAAAUUUAGAUGGAGAAAACUUAGAAGUAGAAAACAACUUCGAAGCUGAAACUUAGACGCAGCUUCGUAAGUGAGUGCUUGUGGUAUUGUUCUCUAAUUGGCAUUAAUGUUUAUGUAGUUUCAUGUCAAUAAUAAUCUGCAUAAUAAAGGUUUUCAUUAAAUGUCAAUGCAGAUUAGCCAGCUGGUUAAAUUCUUAUUAUGUCGUCGAAGUUUUAUUGUUGUAUAUGAAACAAAUUAAAAUUAAAUCUUGGGCACGAUUUUGGUUAGAACAGGUUGUAUCUUUUCAUUUUAGUGCAUGAAUAAAAUUGAGAAGAUAUUGUAAAUAAAAAAAGAUGUAAUAUUUUUCGUAGUUUUUUUAUAAAAAAAAUUGAGUAAUGAUAUUGGAACACUAUUAUUUUGAAUAUUUAUCAACACUUGUCAUUUUUUUUAUCUUUUUCUUUCUACCACGUCAAAUCACUAAUGCGUAUAAUAUGAAUGGACAAAAACAAAUAUAUCUUACAUAAUAUAGUAUCGAAGAUUAAGUGUCCGGAUAUCGAAUGCACGUGACUAAUUGUGUUCUUAAAAUAAUAUAUUUUAUUUUGCAACUAAGUAAUUGAGGAAAGAAAUUAAAUUAAGAUGGAUUGAUGAUCAAUUAUCUAAUGCAAGAUCAAAUCUAAACGAGUAAGAUAGUAUCGAGUAAGAUAGUAUGAAAGAGAAGAUGAUUUCAGGCAUACCAAUUCCACCAAUCCUAAUUCUAACAAGAUUCUUAGGAUUGUUAAUUGUCGAUUUUCUAAAGUCAAUUAUUAGUCAUUGAUUGUGGUCAAUUAUUAAUCAAUUUCCUAAUUAACCUACUAGAGGUUAUCCAACCAGUUUGGCAUGCAGUUUGAUAUAAAACACUUUUUUCCUAAUUCUACCAAUUACAUGUAAAUGAUCACUGUUAAGCAAUCAUUUAUGUAUUAGUAAGUCCAUUUCCACCAACCAAUUUGGUCAUGUAGUUUGGUAUAAAACACUUUCUUCCUAAUUCUACCAUUAAAUGCAAAUGAUUACUAUUAUGCAAUCAAUUAUGUAUUAGAACAUCCAUUUCCAAAAUAGAAAUUAAAAGUAAAGAAGAUAAUCAAUUAACUAAAUGACAUCGAGAAUUUCAUUAAAAUUAAGAAAGGAGUUCAAACUAGGUUACAUCAUAAUAAUCGAACUAGGGAGACUAGUUGCUCAUUGUACACACUAUUACAAAAAAAAAAAUUUUAACGUGUCUUACUUGGCACCUUGCUUGCAUGAGUAAGUACAAGUGUACAAUCUGUUUUAAAUUAUGUGUGUAUUGGUUUGUUCUAAUGGAUUGGUUUGUUUGAGAAAUAGAUCAAAACAACUAGAAAGAUCAUGCAUCAAAGAUAGAAAAUGGUGGUGAGUCUAGGAGGAUUUCUAGGUCUUUUAUACAAUGAUGUCAAUGUGACAUGUGAGCAUUUUCAUGGGAGAAAGAUAGAGAGAAAAAGAGAGAGGUAGGGGUGACAUGGAUGAAGUUACCAUUACCAAACAAUUUAAUAUCAUUUUAUUCCUCAAAUUAGUCACUUUAGUUCUUGAAAAAAAAAAGUGUUAUGGUUACUAUAAAUUAUAAAAAAACACCCCUAAAAUCUUCAUUUUUGACUCUUAUUAUGUAGAUAAUGAACAUCAUCUUAUUUUACUAACGAAGUUUGUAGAUGGCUAAAAGUAGGGAUUAACUUGGAUAACAUAAUUCAAUGUCAAAGAUUUAUUUUUCAUGUAUCUAAUUUUAGGAACUAAUAUUUUUUUAUUGGUAAGAAUUGAGCAUGGUAUUAAAAAAUUUACAAUACUCACACAUCUUACUCAACCAAUUAAGUUAGACCCCUUAAUAUUUUAGGAACUAUACCCCCACAAUUUUAGAGACUAAAAUGAUGAUUUGAUCCUUUUUAUUUUUUGUCGAAGAUGAAGAAAAAAGGAAGAAAAAAAGAUUUAGAUUUUUUAAAAAAUAUCUUUAUAUCUAUUCAUAACUUUUAAUCUUAAAUAAGAAUAUGAUGCGUUCUUUGUUAGUAAGAAGCAACAAAGGAAUAAGAAUAACAAAAAAGCACAUGAUAGGAAAUGAGAGCAACCAAGUCAGAGAAUAUCCUCUAGACUCCAAAUUUCAUUCAAAUCCCUCGUACCCCUUACAAUGACCGCCUUCCUUACAUAUAACUGAAUUCCCCUCUCCAUUGAUUUUCUCCUCUAACAAACUUAUUCCCCCUCUCACAAAAGGCUACUGCUAAAUAGACAAAUUUGCCCUCUUGGGCCUGAUGGCAUAUACUUGAUCAAAUCUACUCUUGGACUUUAAGUAUUUUGAGUUGCAAAAUAAUUUUAUAGGAUUUAAGUAUUUUGAGUUGUAAAAUAAUUUUAUAUUUUAUGAAUACUGUGAGUUAUUAAAUAAGUUAUGAGAUUAUAUUUUAUUAUGAAUGAGUUACUUAGGGGGUGUUUGGUUUGGUUAUUUUCUGUUUUCAUUUUCACCGAAAACAGAAAACGGUGAUGAAAAUGUGUUUGGUUGGAUUUCUGAAAACAUUUUCAGUGAAAAUGAAAACAGGAAACAGCCAGAAAAUGAAAACAAUAAAUUUUCGUUUUCAGUGUUUUCAGUUGAGAACAGAAACCUCAUUUCAGGUAAAAUAAAAUUGUGAUGACAAUGAAUGUAUUUUUAAACAAAUCUAAAAAUACAAAAAGACAAAAAGUCAAUAUAUCAUAAAUUUUCAGUAUUUUUAUUUCAUGAAAACAGAAAAUAAGAAGUCAAACCAAACAUAUUUUCAGAAUUCUAAUCUUUUGAAAAUGAAAACAAUUUUCAGAAAAUGAAAACAGAAAAUGAAAAUGCAAACCAAACACACCCUUAAAUUGCUUAAAGGUUUAUGACUUAUCUUUUUUUGUUUAUCCGAUAAUACAAUUUUUAAGUUUGAGGAUUUUAUUUUAUGGGAUUAUAUUUUAUUGUGAGUAUAUGUAUAAUAUUGAUUUUAAAAAAAUGUCCCUUACUAAUUUUUAAGUUUGAGGAUUUUUUUUUCAAAACUUAAAGAUGUGUUAAUUUUUUAACGGUCCAAUUCUAUAACCAACCCAAUCCAAUCUUAUAUAUAAAAGUUAGAUUAGAUUAGAUUGAGUUGUAAAAAAAAGGUAAGCUCAAUCUAACCCAAUCCAAUUAAAUUUAAUUAGAUUAGGUUGAAAAGGAAAUAAAACUUAACUCAAUCCAGCUCCUAAUCUAAAAUAUACAUACUAUGCCAACCUUCUUGGUAUUGGAUAGAAAUUUCACUAUUAAUUAAUAAUGUUGUAUUGUCUGCCAUAUUUUAGGUUCUAUAUUUGGUUUAAAGGUGGGAGGAAAAUAAUUUUAAUGAAAGAGGGAGAAGAAAAGAGAGGUGAUUACACGUUUUGUUUGGUUUAGAGAAGAAGAGAGAUUUUAAUAGAAUGAGAGAAAAUAAUCAUUUUCUUGUUUGGUUCAUAACUAGAGAAGGAAUUUUGAAAAUUAAUUUCCUUGCAUGUUUAUAUAAUUUUAUUUUCCAAAACAUAAGUAGAGAUAUUUUAGUUAAUACUCAUCAAAUAUGUUUUAAAUGUUUUUAUUUUUUUUCUCCCAAAAAUUAAACCAAAUUAUAAAAUUUUAUAAAAAUAUAUCCCUACAUCCCUCUUCCACCAUUUUCUUUUAACCAAACACUAUAUAUGUUAGAGUGAAUUAAUUAGAAAGAGAAAAAAAAAAACAAAAAGAAAGAAAGUAAUAAAUAUGAUAUAUAAUGUGACUAACAAGUUGAUCCGGUCAACGGUAAAAACAACUCAAAUUUAUUAAUAUAUUUUAAAAUAAUCUCAUUUUGGUAAUUAGUUUAUAAUUUCCCUUCUCAUCUUUCUCUCUUUUUUUUCCUACUUUGAAAGUAAUAAAUGUAAUACACAUUAAAUAAACACAUUCUAUUUGGAUAAUUAAAAAAAGUACAUAUCUAAAAUAUACUAUGCCAACCUUCAUGGUUUGGAUAAGAUUAUUUUUCCAAAAUCAAAUUCAGUUUCAGUCAAAACAAAAAAUAAUUAUUUCUACUUUUUCAUCAUAAUUUUGAGAACUUAAAUUGAUUCCAGUAGUUAUCCAAACACACCAAUAUAGGGUGGAUUCAAAAUGAAAGAAUAGAAGAAAAUAAAAGAUAGAAAAAGAAUAGUGUAAAUAUGAUAAAUGAUGUAACUAGUGAAUUGAUCAGGUCAAUGGUAAAAAGCAUCUAAAUCUCAUAAUAUAUCACAUUUUAGUCAUUAGUUUCUUAGAGUGUCCUGUUUUGGUGAACCAUUCCUUAGUAAAAUUACUCUUACCUUAAAGGACUUGCAUGUGUGUGUGUAUAUAUAUAUAUAUAUAUAUUAACUUUUGCAAAACUUUUGUUUGCGGCUAGUAAGAUCAGAGCCCUAUAAAAAUGUAGCCAAUAACCCAUAUUCCCACAUAUGUUCUAAAUCCACUAUUCAUCCAAAUGAAGAAUAUGUUUCUCAUCCUUUUCUUUUCUGCUCUUCUAAUUUCAUCCACUUCUAAUGCUUCUAACGUCAAUGAUUUCUGCGUAGCAGACCUCAAGGGUACAAAUAGCCCUUCUGGCUCUAACUGCAAGCCCGCUGAUACAGUAACAGCAAAUGACUUUGUCUUCACUUUUCAACCUGCAAACACAUCUAACCCUAUCAAAACUGGAAUCAGCACUGCAUUUCUUAAAGACUUUCCUGCUCUCAAUGGUCUUGACAUCUCUGCAGUACGUGUAGUUAUCGAUAAAGAUGGAUUUAUUCCAUUGCAUUCACAUCCUCAUGCCACUGAACUAAUAAUCGUGGUGGAAGGUCAAAUCACUGCUGGAUUCAUGGCAGCUACCAAAGCUUAUGUGACCAAGACACUGAAACCGGGAGAUCUUAUGGUUAUCCCACCAGGACAAUUGCAUUUUCUAGCAAAUUAUGAUCAAAGAAGAGCCACUGUUUUUGCUGCUUUUAGUAGCUCAAACCCUACUGUCCAUUCUUUUAAUAAUAUAUUUGCCAACAAUGUACCCUCUAAUGUACUUGCCCAAACUACCUUCCUUGAUGUUGCCCAAGUGAAGAAGCUUAAGGCUCGUUUCGGUGGCAGAAACUAGGAUAUUAUUGCUUGCUUAUUGAUUAAUUAGUUAGUUAAUGUGUUUGUUCCAAUGAUCAUAAACAAUAAACACUGAUUAUAUUCUUUUGUGUCUGAUAAGAUUAUAUAUACUCUUUCGAUCCCUUCAUCACUUAUAUACUAGAUUUUGAGUUCUCCCUUGAUUUUGUGCAUGUUCAGCUUUCAGGUGAUGCUUCAUGAACUUUGUAAUCUCGAUUAGUUGUUCUGGCUUUUAGCUGCCUUUAUGACAACAACAACAAAAAUGUUUAUGUAGACUUAAACUUGUGUUUGGAACGAGACCAAGUUGAUUUUCUUUAUGCCGAAAAGUUUUUGACGAGUGUACUACACAAGAUAAAGAUAAAAAAAUUAAAAUGGAGAAUUUUUUUUAAGAGUCGGUCUAUUCUAAUCCACAAUAUGAUAUCUGGAUGAUUUUCUUAAUUACAAAUAAUUAGGUAUGUUGAUAAACUACUCAAUAAACACCUUAGAAGAAUAAAAUAGAAUAACAAAUAAAAUAAAUAUUCAGUUAACUGCAAAACUCUUUGUUCUCCCUACAAGAAUGUUCAGUUGCCAUUCUUGUCAUCGACGAUGACAACCUCCGCAAGUAGGUCUUCGAUUCAACCCGCACAGUUCAGAGUCGUACAUGUAGAAGGUGCAUUAAAAUGUGGCAACUUGGACGGGGAACUUCUAUAUAAAAAAAAAAGGCUUGGACGGAGAGACGAGAAAAUGUUAGCGGUAGUUGGAGAGAGAAAGACAACAUUUUUGUGAAGAAAAAAUUGUGUCUUUUUCUUCUAUUACUGGGUUUUUUUUUUUUGCUGUGAAAGAACAAUCAAAGUAUUCAUUUGUCAACACUUCAGCACAUGUGUGUGAUUUGUCAUAUCAUGAUCACUUCAAUGUAUUUUAUUAAAUAAUAAAGACAAUUAGAUAAACAAACUCUUUAGUAUCUGAAAAUACUCAUUUAAUUGAUCCCAACACCCCAAUUAUUUGAUGAUAUUUAUGGUCAUAUAUCGAUUAUAUUUGCCCUUUUCGGCUUGAACUGGUUGAGAAUAUUUGAAUUUGAAUCCGUCCAUAACCAAUUACCCAUAAGCCUAAUUUACUUAUUCUGUAUGUAUGAAAAACAUGACCAUUAUCAACCAGACGAAGCUUACAAAUUUUUACCCCUUCAUGACACUGCGGUGUGUCAAAAGGAUUUGUAUUUGGACAAGAAAAUGGUACAAUAAUUUCCACACUAAAGGAAGAGAAGUGAAGGUAUUAAAAAAAAAGUAUGAGGUAAAAUAUCAAUAUGUUGAAAAGACAGAAAAACACAUAAUAUUAUAAAAUAUAAAAUUAAAUAUGUUCUUGGUAUUUACUAAUGUUUGUUUUUGUUCCUUAAAAAAUAUUUAUCAUUCAUGAAAAUGUGUUGCUCGCAAUUCUUAUAUAUUUUUCAUAUAUGAGUAUUUAUUUGUUAAAAACACAUUUCUAGAGCAAAUAAACAAACAAAAAAUGGCAUUUUACAUAUACUAAAAGUAAAUGUUCUGUUUACAUAAUCAUAGAUAUCUUCCUAAUAUGAAUACUUCUAUCACCUUAUGACCUUAAAAUUAUAAAUAAAAAAAAUAUUGUAUGAGUAAUUGUUGUAAUUUGUUCUAACAGUAAUGUAGUACUAUCAGUUAAGCUUAAUUUCAACACUCUACCCGACACAUGUUUAAUUUUACCUUUCUGUUUUGUUUUGUUUCCACUUAUUAGUGUAUGUAUUUAUUGUUACUACUAGUAGCCAAAUUCUCCGAAACAGGGCCAAACAAUGUGAGCAGAGAAACAUUACUACAGUAAUCUUUAUAGUUAGCAAACAUAUUCAUAACAAAUUACAUCUAAAAAAGAAUUAUUCCUUAGCGAAGUUUCUUUUAACUUGAUAGUUAGCAAACAUAUUUAUAGCUAAUGUAUCAAAAAUUCUUGUCCAUUCCUCGGUAGCUUGAAUAGUUGUGAUAUCAUCUAUGUCAAAUACUAAAUUUUCUACUGCACCCAUUCCCUUCCGUGUUAAUUCCUAUGGUUUUUAUGUACAAUAAUAUGUUACUUUUGCCUUUGUACAUUACAGAAUAAGCAAAACAGUGACAGCGUGACUAUUAAUUGCAAGUUGCAAUAUUCUUUUCUAUUUUCCUUUUGUUUUACACAUGAACAAUCCUGCAAAAUAAUAAGGUUAUUGCUGAGAUGACCUAAUCAUGCUCUAUUUUGGAAAUGAUGCGUUCUGGUAUUAAAAUAUGCUUUCUAUGAUUUUUAUUUUAUUUUUUUGUUCCUGGUUGCUUUAACCUAGUGUUUUGCCCCAUAGGUUAUCAUCAAUCACCAGGCUCUUCCUUGCCUUCUAAUCUAUUGACCAAUAAUUAUUAAAAAAGCAUCAAGAAGGAAGCUUGUUGGACCAUAUCAAACAUCACAACCGGUAAUAAACAGCAGAUUCAGGUAUAGUUACUUGUUCAUCAGUCCCUUCCCCUUUUGCAUAAUUGCAUGCACGUACAGAUUAUCAGAUGCAAGCCUGGACUUUUGAGUCUAUAGAUUAUUACAUUUUAACGAUGGAAAAAUGAAUUCAAAAGUCAAACUUAAUCAGAUUUUGCCAAAGGAGAAGAUAGAAGAAAAAUAAUCACGAUAGUAAUCAACCUGAGGUGGAAUGUGGAUUUCAGAAUAUGGAUUUUAUGAUUAUUGUAUCGUUAUGAAUCAUCAAACUAGUAAGGACCAAAAGUGGAAUUGUUGGUUGGUUAAAAGUCUUUAUUGGCAUUACUAUGUUAACACUUGACAUUAUUGGAGAAUAGAGACAAUAUUCUUUAACCAUUAGUAUUAGAGGCAUGAGGUAUUUUAGAUUCUUCAUCUUAAUGCCUAAGAUUAAAAUGGGACCUUGUAUACAAGGUUUGAGCCUGAAGCAUUCAUGUGAUCACUUACUAAUGCAGUUCUAAUUACUGAGAUUUCUCUUGUACUAUUAAAAACUCCUAUUGUGAUUUGUGCUAUAUCUUUGUUUCUUUCUCCUUUAUUCUAGAACUUAAAGUUAAUUAUUUUGCUGGCACAGGCAUUUGGUUGAUUGACACCAUAGAGGUCUUUAUCUGGGAGUUAAUGCAGAAUUCCAGAUCAUGUAUUUGCAUUUUUAAGAGCAAAUGCAUUUUUAUUCUUUCACAACGUAAAAGUAGCUUGUUUUAGGCACGUUUUAGCUCUACCGCACACUGUUUAAUUCCUUGAUCUGCAUGUUACUUGACUUAAAUACAAUUUGAGACUUACGGAUAAUGCAAUGGUACAACCCCUUUAUAUUUUCUGAUGACAUAAAACUGUACAAUUACUUGAAUUACAGUUGCUAAUUUUUCAAUCUUCAAUCAUUAUAGAAGCUUAAGGAACAAUCACAAGCUUCUUCUGUUCCUUUUCACAAACUUCUAAAAGUCAUAUAAACUCUCUCAUUCUUUAUUAUUCUCUAAAACUUCAAGGUUUUAUGGGCUUGGAUCUUUUUUAGAUAUUUUUUUAGAGAAAUUUAUCAGAGGGAACAAAUAACAAAUGCCAUUCAGCCUCCAAUGAAUUAAACACGGUGAAGAAUAAACACAAAGUGAAGAAACUAAAAUUCUAGAAGAAUAAACACAAGCACCAAAUUUGCAAAAAUGCUCACAGUACAAAUUAAUGAAAUCAAACAAUGAAUAUCCACAGUACAAAAUCAAUGAAAUCAAACAUUUAAAUAAAAAAUAAAUCAAAAAUUAACGAAAAAAAAAUGAAUACACUGUGGCACAGCGAGAGUGUGGAUUGAAAUCGCAAGGAAAACUUACUUGUGAGCGAACGUUAUGUGUGGUGCGUGAGAGUGACUGAGAGGGAGAGAGAGCUACGGAGAGAACUAGUGUACUAAGAGGGAGAGAAAGCGCUAGCGUCGUGUGCGUGAAAGUGACUGAAUUUGAUUUUGAAAAAAUAAUCUUAUCCAAACACCUUUUAUACGUUACCAUGAAGGUUGGCAUAGUAUAUUUUAGAUAUGUCCUUUUUUUAAUUAUCCAAAUAGAAUGUGUUUAUUUAAUGUGUAUUACAUUUAUUACUUUCAAAGUAGGAAAAAAAAGAGAGAGAAAGAUGAGAAGGGAAGUUUGAAUAUUUUUAUCCAUUAGAGAAAUGCUUACCCGGAAGAGAAUAUAAAUUUAAAGGUAAGUAAUUGUAUUAAAGGCUGGUUGACCAAAGUAGGGGUACUAUUAUAAACUAAUUAUCAAAAUGAGAUUAUUUUAAAAUAUAUUAAUAAAUUUGAGUUGUUUUUACCGUUGACCGGGUCAACUUAUCAGUCACAUUAUAUAUCAUAUUUAUUACUUUUUUCUUUUUGUUUUUUUUUUCUCUUUCUAAUUAAUUUACUCUAACAUAUAUAGUGUUUGGUUGAAAGAAAAUGGUGGAAGAGGGAUGUAGGGAUAUAUUUUUUUAUAAAAUUUUAUAAUUUGGUUUAAUUUUUGGGAGAAAAAAAACAUUUAAAAUAUAUUUGAUGAGUAUUAACUAAAAUAUCUCUACUUAUGUUUUGGAAAAUAAAAUUAUAUAAACAUGCAAGGAAAUAUCUCUACUUAUGUUUGAUGGUUUGUUCGGUUGAUCUUUACAGUAUUAGAGACGGGUUAUUGAGACGAAAUGUCCUAUGUCUAAUAAAUGUUAACUGAUGAUAUUUAUCUUGAUUACUAGUUUCUAAAAGUGUCCUAAUUAAUUUGAUCAAUCAUUUUUUUUAUAAAAUUACUCUUUUCUCAUUCUUUUCUUUUCCGCUCUUCUUUCAUCCACUUCCUAUGCUUCCAAUGUGAAUGAUUUCUGUGUGGCAGACCUUAAAGGUCCAGAUAGCCUUUCUGGCUAUCCUUGCUUGCCACCUACAACACUUACAGAUGAUAACUUUGUGUUCAAUCUUCAACCUGCAAACACCUCACAGUUCCCUACUAUCAAAGCUGGAAUUAGCACUGCAUUUGUUAAUGAAUUCCCUGCCCUCAAUGGUCUUGACAUCUCUGUAGCGCAUGUAGCUUUCGAAAAAGAUGGGUUUUUUCCAAUGCAUUCUCAUCCUGAUGCCACUGAACUAAUCAUCUUGGUGGAAGGUGAAAUCACUGCUGGAUUCGUCACCGGUAUGAAUUCGAUUGCUUAUCUGAAGACGCUGAAACCCGGAGAUCUUAUGGUUAUUCCACCAGGACAUUUGCAUUUUGUAGCAAAUUCUGGUAAUGAGAAAGCCACUGGUUUUGCCACUUUCAGUAGCUCAAACCCUACUAUCCAUUCAUUCAACAAUAUAUUUGCCAACAAUAUACCUUCUGACAUACUUGCACAAGCUACAUUUCUUGAUGUUGCCCAAGUCAAGAAUCUUAAGGCUCGUUUUGGUGGCAGCAACUAGUAUGAUUAAUUGCUAGCUUAUAAUUAAUUAUGUGCUGGCUCCAAUGGUUUUUCUUUUUUAUAAGAUGUGUUUGCUCCAAUAAUCAUCAACAAUAAAGUUAUUUACUUGUAUGUUUCCCUUUUUCAUUUUUUGUCCAAUCUCAAAUCUUAAUAUACUUGUUGGCUCCCUGACUGCGAACGAAAUAACUACAAGGAAAUAACCCCGGAUAGGUGAAGAAAGAAAGAUCGACAAGCAUUCGAAUUUUUCAUAAUAAAAGCACACUUUAUUUUAAUUUAGUUUUUGUUGAUUUAUUUUACUUGCAUUUUUUUUAUCAAUGGAAAGAAUAAAAAAGAAGUAGGCAGAAGAAAACUAAUGGCAGCGGACAUUGGUCACAACUCACAAGUCUGAAAACUGGGCGAUGAUUGGCCACCUUACUUUGCUAACUAGUCGGCUAUCUUUUUCCUUCACUAAAAGUGUGAGAGAAUUGAAUAUUUCAUUGUUGUUGCUUAAAGGAAUGAAUCUUUGUAAUGAGAGUUGCGUAUAUGGAUGACAUGAAUGUACUCCAAGAUUGAUAAGCUCCAAAGGGACUUUUGAAUCCAUUUCACAUAUAAUAUGAUGCGCACCCAGGGAAUGCCAAGAACCAACGCAAAUAGUUCUGUAUGAAGGGAUGUAAUAACCCCACAUGAUCAAUAGAAACGUGUUACUCAUUCACCAGUUGUGUUCUUCCUAAUUACUCCUCCGACGCCUACUUUGCCCAGAUUCCCAAGAGGAGAACCAUCAGUGUUCAACUUCAAGAAAUUUGGUGGUGGCAGACUCCGUGAGAUAUAGAUAACUGAGUUGUCCCUAUUGUUGGAACACACACUGUUCCUCACUUAAUUGCAAGAGAUGCAAUUCACUCCCUCACACAUUCCCUCGUGUAUCACUCACUGUUUUCUAAGCAUAGAAUUGCACACACACUAGGAAUAGCACUAGAGACUGAAAAUGAUAGAAUGAAAACAACACUUUAUUAAGAUGUAUGAUUGCCCUUUUAUACAAGCAAAACAAAGUAACAACCCUUCACUCUUAGGUUAGCACUUAUAACAGAAUUUUAAAAUUCUGCUACUCUCUCUUAUAUACAAAGCCAAAACAGAAUUAAACUCUCACACCCUCCCUUAAUUCUGAUCUCCUAAGUCCAUCAAGCCAAUUCUGUCCCUUAACAUUUUAAACCUCUCCCCUUUGAGAGGUUUGGUUAAAAUAUCAGCAAGUUGAUCAAAUGUGCAGCAGUACUCCACUUUUAAUUUCUCUUUGUUCACUUGAUCCCUAAGAUAGUGAAAUUAAACCUUGUUUCUAUGUGUUUGCUUCUACCAUGAGAGGUUGGAUUCUUUGAUAGGCUUAUAGCUGACUUAUUAUCCACAAAAAGCUUCACUCCAUCACUCUCCUUGAUUUUUAAUUCCUGUAGUAAUGUGUCCAACCAGACAGCUUGACAAGCACUCAUUGCAACUGCAACAUACUCAGCUUCACAUGUUGAUAGAGCCACUAUGGAUUGCUUCUUAGAACACCUCGAUAUUGGUGCUGCACCAUACAUGAAUAUGUAACCUGUAGUACUCUUUCUGUCAUCUCUGUCUCCUCCCCAAUCUGCAUCAGUAUAUCCCAUCAAUUCCUCUGAGUUGCUAUUGUCUUUAUUUGGAAAUAAAAUUCCAGCAUUGAUGCCCCCUUUUAUGAACCUUAGAAUCCUCUUGGCAGCUAAGAGAUGAGGAAUUCUGGGUCCUUUCGUAUAUCUACUUACCAGUCCAACAGCAAAUUCCAAAUCAGGUCUUGAAUGACACAAGUACAUGAGAGAACCAACAAUCUGUUUGAACUCAAUUGCAUCGACUUUGUCUUCCUUGCCCUCCUUUUCAAGUACAAGACCUGCCUCUGUUGGUGUUGCUGCUGAAUUACAUUCAACCAUGUUGAAUCUCUUCAAUAUUUCUGUUGCAUACUUGCUCUGGAGCAUCAAAAUACCUCUCUCAGUCUUCUUGAAUUCAAGUCCAAGGAAAUAGGAUAGAACCCCCAUAUCAGUCAUUUCAAACUCACUCAUCAAUUCCCUUUUUAGUUCUGCUAUUUCACUUUCAUUACCACCAGUGAUCAACAAAUCAUCCACAUAGAGGCAUAUAAUAAUGAUAUUACCUACUGACUUGGAUCUUACAUAGACUCCAAACUCACAGCUACACUUAUCAAAGCCAAUUUUCAUCAUAAAACUGUCAAUUUUAUUGUUCCAAGCUCUUGGGGCUUGCUUAAGUCCAUAAAGAGCUUUUCUCGACCUGAGAACCUUUGACUCUUGGCCAGCUAUAGAGAAUCCAAGUGGCUGAGUAACAUAGACCUCCUCAUCAAGAGGACCAUUUAAGAAAGCACACUUCACAUCUAGUUGGUGCACUGUCCAAUUCUUUAGGCUAGCAAUUGCCACUACUGUUCUAAUAGUCUCAAUUCUAGCAACUGGUGCAAACACCUCUCUGUAGUCAAUCCCAACUUUCUGCAAAAAUCCUCUAGCCACAAGUCUAGCUUUAUACUUGACCACCUUGCCUUCUGGAUUUGUCUUAAUCUUAUAGAUCCACUUCAUAUCAAUGGGCUUCUUUGAUUUUGGUUGAGAUACCAGCUCCCACACUUGAUUUUUCUCAAUAGAUUUAAGCUUUUCUAUCAUAGCUUCAACCCACCUCUGAUCAGUCAUAGCAUCUUCAAAGUUUAUUGGUUCUGCUUCAGAAAACAGAGCAAAAUGUACAAGAUUCCCAUCUGCACUUACAUCAGCAUCAAACAACAUCUCAAAACCUUGAAAUCUAGCUGGUUUGGGUGCAUUUCUCUGGGGUCUCACUUCUCUUUGAGUGGUAUUACCAUUCCCUUCACUUGUUUCUUCCUCUUCUGACCUUAUCAUUAUUGAAGGUCCUUUCAUUUCAGUAUUCUGCUCCCAGUUCCAGCUUCUAGAUUCAUCAAAUACCACAUCCCUACUAAUUAUUAUCUGCUUACUCUUCGGAUCAAACAUCUUAUAGCCUCCAGUUGAGUGAUAUCCGAGUAAGAUCAUUUGUUCACCUUUAUCAUCUAGCUUCCUUCUUAACUGAUCUGGGAUAUGCCUAAAACAAAGUGAUCCAAAGAUUCUGAAAUGGCUCACAUUUGGUUUAGCACCACUCCAAGCUUCUUAAGGUGUUAUUCCUUCCAAUCUCUUUGAAGGGCUCCUAUUCAAGAUGAAGACAGCUGUAGACACUGCCUCUCCCCACAAGUACUUGGGCAGACUCUUGCCUUUCAACAUGCUCCUUACCAUAUUCAUUAUGGUUCUGUUUUUUCUUUCUGCAGCUCCAUUAUGUUGAGGUGUGUAGGGAGGAGUCACUUCAUGAAUUAUGCCUUCUUGAUCACAAAAUUCUUGAAAUUCUAUAGAAACAUAUUCACCUCCACCAUCUGUUCUUAAUAUCUUGAUCAAUGAGUCACUUUGCUUUUCUGCCAUAUUUUUGAACUUCUCAAAGACUUCAAAGACAUCACUCUUCCUUCUUAUUAGGUAAACUCAUACUUUCCUAGUCAAUUCAUCAAUAAAGGAUAUGAAGUAUCCGUUUCCACCCAGAGAUUCAGUUUGCAUAGGGCCACACACAUCAGAGUAAAUCACCUCAAGUUUCUCUUUUGCCCUGAUUGGUACAUUUUGUUUGAAAGUGCUUCUUGAUUGCUUACACUGUAAAUCAGCUGUAGACACUGCCUCUCCCCACAAGAAUGUGAUAACUCAUUCCCUGUGUGUUGUUUCUUUUUGGAUCUUGUGAUGAUCUCGAACCUUGUGUUUGUGGGAACAAAUGGUUAGGUGGAUAGCUUUAGAAAACCUCGUGCUAGAGGACGCCGAGACACAAUGCUCUGAUAGGACGUGACACUGGGACAUGAGUUUAAGCAUUAAUUACAUAAAGUUCUCGACAUGUAGUUUUUAUCAUUUUUGUUUCACAUGUUGAGUCUUUAGUUCAUUCUCUGGAGUUUUGGAUGACCUUGUUUUGAGCCGGAAAUGUUUUCAUACCCCUAAUUGAUAAGUUUUUUUAAUUUGGUGACUAAUGUGAAUAUGAACCUUUUACCCACAUGAACUCCUUAUAUUUAUUGAAUAAAAUCAUUUCAUGUAAUUCUGUAUUUCCAUGUAUUUUAUUAUAUAAAUAUGUAUAUCGGGGUAGAGGGUGUUAGAGUGUGUAUGUAAUAGAUUAUGUUUGUCAUUGUACAACAAUAAUAUAUAUUUUAAAUUCUAACUUAAGGUAGUUUAUAUAUACUUUCUAAAAAAAUAUGUUGCAUGCUCAAAUUUUAAACAAGUUCAUAGUUAUGCUUCUAAAUAUGAUGAAUUUUAUUAAACAUUAAAUUUUAAGUGUACAAGUUUACAUAUUAAUUUUUUUUAAUAUAGACCGAGUCAUGUGGGUCAACUAAUGACUCAUUGGGUCACUGGGUCACUGGGUGACCUAGUACCCCGAUUGAGUCAAUGAAAAAUUCGAGUAUGAUAAUACUGCUACAGGACCAAACCCACAUUGUACCUAAUAUGGGAUUAGGGCCAUUAAUGUUAUUUUUAAAAGUGAUUUUUUUCCAACUGUCCAAAAAAUAAUUUUAAAUUAAUCGACUAGGAUUAAUUUUAGUCGACCUCAACUAGGAUUAUUUGCUACCGACCUUGACAAAGGCUAUUUUUGGACGACCUCAAUGCGGAUUUUUUCCCCACCUCGUUCAAAGCAUUUUUUAUUGACCUUCGUCAAGGCAAUUUUGGACUGACCUUGUUAGGGUUGUUUUGGUCGACUUCGAUCAGAGCUAUUUUUGGUUGAACUCAAUCAAGGUUGUUUUUGGCUGACCUCGGUCAUGACUAUUUUUGGUCAACCUCGGCCAUGACUGUUUUCAGUCUACCUUGGUAGGGGUCGUUUUUGGCUAAACUUGGCUAGGGUUAUGUUCGACCAAUAUCAGCUAGGGUUAUUUUUUACCAACUCCGACCAGGAUUGUUUUUUGUCAACCACACCCAGGGUUAUUUUCUAUUGACCUCGAUCAAGUCUAUUUUUGGUUGACCUUGGUUGAGGUUGUUUAUGGUCGACCUCAACAUGGCUCAUUUUGGUUGACCUUGGCUAAGGUUAUUUUUUGUCAACCUCGGUUAGAGUUGUUUUUGGAUGACAUUGACGAAACUCUUUUUGGAUGACCAACCUAGACUAGGGUUAUUUUUGGCCAACCUCAACUACGGUUAAUUUUGGCUAAUCUCGCCUAUGGUUAUUUUCAGGCGAUAUUGUGUACGAUUAAUUUUGGCCAACCUCGGUUAUGGUUAUUUUUGGCCAACCUUGGUUGAGGUUAUUUUCAGCCAACCUCGACUAGGGUUAAUUUUGGCCGAUCUUGGCUGAGGUUAUUUUCGGCCAACCUCAACUAGGGUUACUUUUGGUCGAUUUCAACUAACCUCUUUUAUACAAUUUUUUACAUGCUCUACUAUAUAAAAAUAAAGAAGUAUGAUAUUGAAAUAUAUAUUUGAAUUAUGAGAAUUGAAAAGAAGGUCUAAUUUUUCGGCCCAUGGGCUAGUCCUAGCCCAUAAGCCUUUGUGGGCUUUUUCGCCCUAUGGGCCAUUUAUAUAUGUGGCCCAUUUUGGCCCUAGCCCACAUGGGCCAAGGCCAAAUGGGUUAGGGUUAGCUUAUUUGACAAGUCUAGUUAUUUGAUUCCACCACAAAUAACACAACGAAAUCAUGCAAUUACCCUUUUAAGCAACAACAUUAUGAUUUCGUUGUGUUUUUAAAAAAAUAGUUUUUUUACAAGAAAUUUUUUGUUUUCGUAAAAGUAAACUUUAAUGUUUUAUAUUGUGAUUUAAUAAUCAUAUUUAUGAUGGUAUGACAAGCCAACAGUGUCCUAGCUUGAUGCAAUGUGAAUCGUUUAUUUUGUCGGUGCAAUCUUGGUUGUUGCUGAUAAUUGACUCACGAUAGAACAAUACAAUAUGAUAAUAAAUACGAUUGGUAUGAGGAUGCUCAAUGCAUUGUGUUGGAUCUUUCACUAUAUUAGGUUGAAGAUGGAGGGGAGUAGUUGCUAUUGUGUAUUAUGAUGGUGAUGUGGUACAAACUUCUGAGGAGGUAUAGUUUGAAUGUCUAAAUGGUCCUAAAUUCAUAAAAAUUAGUGAGGAAAUGUUGCUUAUUGCUUUGAGGAAAGUAGUCACAAAUGUCAUCAAAGGCAAAAGAAGCAGGCAGAAGAAGCUUAUUUGAGGUUUUUUUUUAUCGUAAACAUAUAUAUGUAGGUAAUGGUUGUGCUUAGUAUGACUGCAUGGAGCUUAAAGACACAAUGAAGUGGGGAAAGCGUUUUUCAUCUUUUCAUAAUUUAGUUCUAAAGGUCUGAUCAAGUUGUAUGCAAUGGUUAGCUAUCUCCAAAAGAAUUCUUUGCCCUGGUGAGAAACCAAGAAAACCAAGACCUACCGAAGAAAUCAUUUCUAUGAUGUGUGGAUCAAUGGUGACAACAAGCUCUAAUGAAGAUCAUAACUCUAUUUAGUCAUGUUUUAAUUGAUGAAAUUUAUGUCAGUUUUGGUUGUUGUUGUUGUUGUUGUUUGUUUUUUGAAUUAAAUUGAAAUUUCGUUCUUUAUUACAUUAAUAGGCGUGUGUCAUUUAAACAUAUAAACAAGGCAAACAAAAACUACUAAAAAUAAGUUUUUAUAAAAAACAUCAUAAGUAAAAUACAUAAUAAUACAAAAUGAUUGAAAAAAAUCAUCAAAUGUCUUCAAGUGCCCUUAUGGCCACCUCCUCUGCCACCUUUGUUGGCUUUCUUCCUCGGCUACUCCUCAGUGACCUACAUCCAGCUGCAAGACCAUCGUGUGCCAUCAGCAGAAGUUGUUGUUUGACCUGAUGACUAUUUAUGCCUUUAGGUACAACUCUCAUGUCCAUUAGUCUCUAUGUGUACGCUGACAUCAUUUGGAAUCAAUCCUACAUAAAUAAAACAAUACAAUUAGUAAUUAUUUUUUUAUUAAAAAUAAAACAAAAUGAUGAAAAUAUUGUUUGCAUUACUUGAUAGGAGUAAACAACCCCUGAUACAUAAUCUAGCAUCUGAACACCACUAGCUCGUGGCCGAGGUUGAGGAGAAAUAUGUAUUAGGACUGUGUGGUGGCUCUCCCUCCUGUGGUGAAAGCAUGUAUGGAUGUGAAUGCUCUUAAUACCAAGGCAGGUAGUAUCGAGUGCAAGCCCAUGGAGCCCCAUGUGGAACAACCUUGACCACUGCCACUGCAUGCUUAUCUCACUCGGCCCAUGUCUGACAAUAAGGCUCAUAUUCUUUAGGAUGCUCAAAUGGGUCCAAGGGAAUCCAUUGUACGUACCCAAACUAUCUCAAAACCUUCUUUGAUAGAUAUAACCACAUGUAUAUCCUAACUCCAAUGUAGGCAGGGUACGAUGUCUAGUCGUCAAAAGGUAUGAGGUCUUUGGGUGAUGCAUAUUGGGACCAGACAACAUCAGUCAUCUAUAGCCUAUCCAAUAACUCCCUAGUCCCAACAACCUUGUUAGUACCCCUCAACGGCAUGUUGCGAUGCUUGCGGUCAUGAUCCAACACCUUUUCACUACAAGGAAUGGUCGAAAAAGGCUCAAACACCCAUGCUUGUAAAACAUGAAAUAUAUUUUUAGCAUCAAGUAGUACUAAAAAAAACAUCAAUUAUGUAUACAAAAUUAAAUUGUUCUUACUAUGAGUAGAGUCAUAUAAGCUCACAUAUGUUUGUUGGUAUACUUGUAAGCAUAUGUCAAUUGGUCAUAAAGAUAAGCCAACGUAGUUGCCCCCAAGCGUACUUAUAGCAUCAAUCCAAAUCACCGAGGUACUAGAGGUAGCAGAUGUGUACACUCGUCAAGUUCUUCUCGACAAAUAUGGUAUUGUCAAGCAAAUGCAGAAAAUACACCUUGGCAACCCAAACAAAUGACUCAUUGGAAACGUAACUGUGAUAAGGCUCUCUAACAAACUCAGAGGCACCUUAUUGCUUGAUGACGUUGCAACAUCUACCUCCUGGUCCAUCAUAAUUCCAAGCUCUAACCUUACUAGACCUCUAAUCUCCUUUGUGGCGUAGGUCGUGUCUGUUUGAUCAAGAAAACAAACGAUGAUAGAAAGAUGUAAAAGGCAUGACAAAUAAUUAAGGGUAAUGGUCAUCUCUCUUAUAGAAAGGUGGAAGGAGGAGGUCACACUGUGCCAUCUCUCAAUAAAGACAUUGACUACGCCUUUAUUUGUGGACAUGUACCGCGCAUCAUACAGGCCCUUUAGCCUUGACCUAUCCACGUACCUCUUCAUCAUUGAAUUGGUGGGGUAGUGCAUAACCUUGCCACCAUGGCUGACCAGCUUCAGCUCAUCUUUGGGUUGACUGAUCCAUACAUGGCCAACUAUGUGGUCCUUAUAGGAUCGAAGCAGACUCAAAUACAUAAGACUUCCUCCAAUUGGGGAUUUGAUGAUAUGGUUAGUAGGCGAUAUUUGUGGUUGUUGUGGCUUUGGUUGUGCCUUAGGCUAUGGCUCCGGUUGUGCCUGUGCCUCCGGCUCUUGUCAAGAAGCCUUUGAAUCACAACAUGCUGACAUAGUCACGCGUUGCCUCUGAAACUCAACAUCUGAUACAAAGGCAAUAAGCUUUGUGUGAUCCAUCUAAAAAGGGUAGGAAUAUCAAUUAAACAAUAAAUUAGAUAAUUUAAAAACAAAAAAUUGAUGAAUAACACAACAAAAUCGUAUUUCUGUUAUGGUUUUAUAAAAACAACAUAUCAAAAAUACGAUUUUAUUGUGCUAUUUGAUAAAUAAUACAACAUAACCGUAUUUUAAUUGUACUUUUUUCAAAACGAAAAAAAAUAACACAAUGGAAGUGUGAUUCCGUUGGGUUCUAGGUUCAUAAUCACAAUAGGAUCGUACUUCCAUUGUGUUUUUGUUUUGUUUUGAAAAACACCACAACAUAGUUACGAUUCAGUUGUGAUUUUCAACACAGGACAUAAUGGAACUAGUAUUCCAUUGUAUUCUGGGUUGAGAAUCACAAUGAAAUUGUACUUUUGUUGUGGUGUUUUCCAAAACAAAACAAUAAAACACAACAAAAGUAGGAUUCCGUUGUGAUUCUCAACCCAGAACACAACGAAAUCACACAACUAUUGUGUAUAAAAAAGAAAAAAAAUAACUUAAUAGAGCUCCAAAAUGAGAAAUGAAUGGAGAAGAGAGAAGGGUCUUCGACGAAAAUGAGAAAAUGAAAGGGAGCGGGAAAGAAUGAAGGAAGAGAAUGAGAGGGAGUGGGAUUGAAGGGACUUGGAUGAGAGGAAGAAAAUGAGAAGGAGUGAGUGAGAUAGAGAGAGGGAGAGAAAGAGAGAUGUUUAAGAGGAAGGGGAAAGGGUGGGGGUGAGAAGAAGGGGUGGGCAGAUGCGAAAGGGAAGGGGUGGGGGUAAGGGGAAAUUUCCUUAAGGACAAUUUCAUAUUUCCAUUACCAUUUUCAAAAAUGGUAGUGCCAAUAACAGUGGGAGGUAGUGAGAAUAACAAUUCCCAAAUAAGUGGAUUAUGCAAGCUAGCCUAUGAGCCCACAGAAUACGUCGUCAAGUCCACUGGUUUCAUGGGCCAAACUCAAGUAUUGCCUAUAGUUAUGUGGGUUAAAAAAAGCAGGUUCGUUAUCCACGCGGUCCGCUGGCUUAACGGGCUGACCCACGAACUUAGGCCCAUAUACCCACCUCUAGUGAUGGCGAGAUGAGGACGACAAUGAUAAUGACUACGAUAGCAACAAAAUAGUGAUAGUAGUGAUAUUGAGUGGUAGUAGAAAUAGUGGAGUGACAGUGAUUUCCUAUUUAAACGCCCAAGGUGGCUUUCCUAGUCCAAAAUUCGUUACACUAAAAAAGUGGCUCAAUAGGCCUAGAACGGGUGGAAAAGAAAAGUAAAUUUAAAUAAUAAUUGUAUAAUAUUUUUAUAUUAAAUAAAAAGUAAAUUUAUCUUUUAAAAAAACAUCAUCCCAUUUAAUGGUACAUUGAUAUUUUUUUUUACUUUUAUAUAAAAAAUAAAAUAAAAAAACUAACAAUCCUCCCCUCAGCUUGCUUGUUUUAAAAAAUAAAAUAAAAAACAUCAUCCCAUUUAAAUGAAAUUUGUUUUUAUUUUUAAUUAUUCAAAGACGGUCAUUAUAAUAAGACCGUCUUUGUAUCAGCUUGCUUGUUUAUUAAAGGCGGUUAUUUCAAUAAUCGUUGUUGUCAACUUUUAGAAAAUUACAAUAAUGCCACCGCUAUUAUUUUUACAACGUGUGAUAUUCAACCGUGGUAAGUGUGAUGUCGUAAAAUAACAUUAUUGUAGUAGUGUUAAUAUAUUUUAACUUUAAAAAAAACUUCUGAAUUUUACUUUAUAAAUUACUGGUCAGUAAAAUACAACGAAGGCCUUAGAUCCAUGUUGAAGGAAUGACAAUCGGAGAGUGGAGGCAUAAUCUACUACUCCUACUUUGACACUUUUGCCUGCCAUCAACGACCUUAUUCAGACUCCAGCUUCUUAUGGUACCAUUUUAUACCUACAAUAACAUAUCCAAAUAAGUUCUCAGUUAUCAGCCCUUCCUAUUGUGCUCCUAAGGCUCUUAACUUACAAAUUAACACAAAGAAAGGUGUCACUUAUGACGUAAAGGGUAACCGUGUAUUUUAUAUAAAAGAUACUUUGUUCACAUUUCACGGUCGUCGUGUGUUAUGUGAUGAUAAAGGAAACCCCAUCGUCACUCUAUAUAAGAAGGUAUGUUACUGAUCUAGGAGACAUCUUAUACUCAGCGAUUUUUUUUCUAUUAAUUAAAUUAACUAAAUUGAUAUUAUAUAUUCUUAAUUUUUAUUUUUUAUCAGCAAAUAUUAAUUAUUAAUUUUGGUAGUUUUUUUAGUGAAAUAAAUUUGAAUCCAUAACCUCUCUCUUUUCUUCUUUCUUUAACUAUCAAAUCAAUCUUAUAUAAUUUAGUAUUCUUAAUUUUUGUUUAUAUGUAGAAUGUGACAUUGCACGGGCAAUGCAAAGUUUUCAGGGGUAAUACCUCUGAGUUGCUCUUUUCGGUGAAGAGAUCGUCAAUAAUCCCGAGUGGGAAUAUGCUUAGAUUAGAUGUCUUCCUUGGAAACAAGAGAAAAGGAAGCAUGUGUGAUUUUAGAGUCAUCGUUCGUGGAAGUAAAAAUUCAUGCACUAUUUAUGCCGGUGAAUCUCCAACUAUUGUUGCCAAGGUGUGUAUUGCAUGUGUUCUGGGCAUGUUUUUAUAUACACAUUAAUUUAAUUGCCUAUCUAGUAUGGGUUUGGAUAAUUAUUGAUAAAAAUUAAUUUUAAAUUUUGAAUGAAAUUAAUUUUACAGACUUGAUUAGAAUUAAAAUUGAUUUUAAAGUGAUGUGUAAUUUAUAUUUAAAUAUUUUUAUGAUAAAAUUAAGUUAGGAGUAAAAUUUAGUAUAAUUUUUUUAUUCUAGUUAGAAUUGCUUAGUUCAGAAUCAAUUUUAGACCCAAAAUUAAUUAUGAAUCUUUUUAACAUAAAAUCAAACAUAUAAUUUUUGUUCUAAAAUCAAUUAUGAACUUGAAAAUUAUUAUUGUUUUUUUCCUAUUAACUCAGAAUCAAUUCUAACAUGAAACAAAGCACACAUACUUUUAUCUUGGUAAUUGUCGUGGAUCUUGAGCACAAAAUGAGUAUUAGUCUCCUGGUACGAUUUAUUACAUGCCUAAGAACAAAUCAAGAUUUGAAUUCCAAAUCACUUUUGUUAUGCCAAACUGUUAUUGAUCCAAACACAUACUUAACACAGCUGAAUGGAUAUAAUGACUACAUUUUAUCGCCCUCUUUCAUGUAGAUGGAGAAUAAUGGAGGCUUCAAAGUCUUGGUCUAUCCCAACGUGGACUACACAUUCAUAGUGGCACUACUUAUGAUUAUUGAUGACAUCAAAGAUUAUGAUGUGUUGGUAAAUGCGUCGGUGAGUAGUAUCCUAACUGUGGCGACGGGGGGUAUCUUACCUAUUCUGACAUUGUUUGAGGGAGAAAAUUUAGAAGAAGAAACCUUAGAUGGAGAAAACUUAGAAGAAGAAUACUUACAAGAAGGAGAAAACAACUCAGGUGGAGAAAACUUAGAUGGAGAAAACAACCCAAAAGGAGAAAAUUUAGAUGGAGAAAACUUAGAAGUAGAAAACAACUUCGAAGCUGAAACUUAGACGCAGCUUCUAAGUGAGUGCUUGUGGUAUUGUUCUCUAAUUGGCAUUAAUGUUUAUGUAGUUUCAUGUCAAUAAUCUGCAUAAUAAAGGUUUUCAUUAAAUGUCAAUGCAGAUUAGUCAGCUGGUUAAAUUCUUAUUCUGUCGUCUAAGUUUUAUUGUUGUAUAUGAAACAAAUUAAAAUUAAAUUUUGGGCAUGAUUUUGGUUAGAAUAGGUUGUGUCUUUUCAUUUUAGUGUAUGAAUAAAAUCGAGAAGAUAUUGCAUAUAAAAAAAGAUGUAAUAUUUUUCGCAGUUUUUUUUAUAAAAAAAUUUGAGUAAUGAUAUUGGAACAUUAUUAUUUUGAAUAUUUAUCAACACUUUUUAUUUUUCUUUAUCUUUCUUUCUAGCAUGUCAAAUCACUAUUGCGUAUAAUAUGAAUGGGCAAGAAUAAGUAUAUCUUAUACAAAUAGUAUCGAAGAUUAAAAGUCCAGAUAUCAAAUGCACAUGAUUAAUUGUGUUCUCAAAAUUAUACAUUUUAUUUUGCAACUAAGUAAUUGAGGAAAGAAAUUAAAUUAAGAUGUGAUUGAUGGUCAAUUAUCUAAUGCAAGAUAUCAAAUCUAAACGAGUAAGAUAGUAUGAAAGAGAAGAUGAUUUCCGGCAUACCAAUUCUAUCAAUCCUAAUUCUAACAAGAUUAUUGUUAAUUUCCCGUUUUCUAAAGUCAAUUAUUAGUCAUUGAUUGUGGUCUAAUAAUGCUCUUUGUCUUAAACAAUAGUCAAUUGAUCGUUGACGUAUUAAUGGCUGACCAGCUUCAGCUCAUCUCUGGGUUGACUGAUCUAUACAUUGCCAGCUAUGUGGUCCUUAUAGGAUUGAAGCAGACUCAAAUACAUAAGGCUUCCUCCAAUUGGGGAUUUGAUGAUAUGGCUAGUAGGUGAUAUUUGUGGUUGUGGUGGCUCUUGUUGUGCCUUAGGAUAUGGCUCUGGUUGUGCCUGUGCCUUUGGCUCUUGUCGAGAAGCCUUUGAAUCACAACAUGCUGACAUAGUCACUCAUUGCCUCUGAAACUCAGCAUUUGAUACAAAGGCAAUAAGCUUUGUGUGAUCAUUCUAAAAAGGGUAGGAAUAUCAAUUAAACAAUAAAUUAGAUAAUUUAAAAACAAAAAAUUGAUGAAUAACACAACAGAAUCGUAUUUCUGUUAUGGUUUUAUAAAAACAACACAUCAAAAAUACGAUUUUAUUGUGCUAUUUGAUAAAUAAUACAACAUAACCGUAUUUUAAUUGUAUUGUUUUCAAAACAAAACAAAAAAUAACACAACGAAAGUGUGAUUUUGUUGGUUCUAGGUUCAUAAUCACAAUAGAAUCGUACUUCCAUUGUAUUUUUGUUUUGUUUUGAAAAACACCACAACAAAGUUAUGAUUCUGUUGUGAUUUUCAACCCAGUACAUAAUGGAACUAGUAUUCCAUUGUGUUCUGUGUUGAGAAUCACAAUGAAAUUGUACUUUUGUUGUGGUGUUUUCCAAAACAAAACAAUAAAACACAACAAAAGUAGGAUUCCGUUGUGAUUCUCAACCCAGAACACAACGAAAUCACACAACUAUUGUGUAUAAAAAAGAAAAAAAAAUAACUUAAUAGAGCUCCAAAAUGAGAAAUGAAUGGAGAAGAGAGAAGGGUCUUCGACGAAAAUGAGAAAAUGAAAGGGAGCGGGAAAGAAUGAAGGAAGAGAAUGAGAGGGAGUGGGAUUGAAGGGACUUGGAUGAGAGGAAGAAAAUGAGAAGGAGUGAGUGAGAUAGAGAGAGAGAGAGAGAGACGCUUGAGAGGAAGGGGAAUGGGUGGGGGUGAGAAGAAGGGGUUGGGUAGAUGCGAAAGGGAAGGGGUGAGGGUAAGCGGAAACUGCCUUAAGGACAAUUUCAUAUUUCCACUACCAUUUUCAAAAAUGGUAGUGUCAAUAGCAGUGGGAGGUAGUGGGAAUAGCAGUUCCUGAAUAAGUGGAUUAUGCAGGCUAGCCUAUGAGCCCACAAACUAAGUCCGUCAAGUCCACUGGUUUCAUGGGCCAAACUCAAGUAUUGCCUAUAGUUAUGUGGGUUAAAAAAAGCAGGUUCAUUAUCCACGCGGUCCGCUAGCUUAACAAGCCGACCCACGAACUUAGGCCCAUAUACCCACCUCUAGUGAUGGCGAGAUGAAGACGGAAGUGAUAAUGACUCCGAUAGCAACAAAAUGGUGAUAGUAGUGAUAUGGAGUAAAUUUAAAUAAUAAUUGUAUAAUAUUUUUAUAUUAAAUAAAAAGUAAAUUUAUCUUUUAAAAAAACAUCAUACCAUUUAAAUGUACAUUGAUAUUUUUUUAAACUUUUAUAUAUAAAAUAAAAUAAAAAACUAGCAAUCCUCCCCUCAUUUGGAAGAUGUUUUUUCAGACUUGUUACUUAAAAAUCAAAUCAAACUAUUUUAAAUUACUAUAUAUGGAUUAAAAAAAAUUGAAAUUUAAUCAAAUUGAUAAAUAAAAAGAUGGCAUUUUUUUAAGUUUCUAUUAUUAAAAUUGAACAAAAUCAAAUCAAAUGGAUAAACUUAUAUUAUUUGUUUUGUUUACCCCAUAUAAAAUCACAUUCUUUCUUUAAUUAACCCCUUUAAAAUCCCAUUUUAUUUUAGACUUUUAUCUAUACACCAAUAUUUUUUUACCAUUGUUAGGUCAAAAGACCUUUGAGUCUUAAGACAAAUCAAGACCCUUAAACAUUUUGAUUAAAUACAAAUAAAUACAAAAGUUAAAAGUUGUAUCUUACGUGCACUCAAAUGAAGAAACAUUGCAUUUGCAUCUAAAGUUUCAAAUGGAAGUAGAUAAAUGUAUGAUCUAAUGCAACAUUUAAUAUCUCAUUUAAGACUUUAAUUUAAUACUUUGUGCUUGAGAUUCAUUUUGCAUAAUUUGUUUUAAAAGGCAUUCUCCUAGGAUCUCUCAAAAUCCUAAGAAGAAUAAAAGAACUUUAAGAGCCUGGAAGUUCAAAUAGUAUCAAAACUCGUGCUCUGUUGUGAUAGACCUGGUCUAACAAAAAAUAAGUGAUUUUUUGCUAAAGUAUCCUUCAAGGAAGCUAAAGAGAGUGAUUUUCCAGCAUGAAGCGGACAUGCAUUUUAUACAAACAUUGAAUGCCCCAACGAACACUUCUUCAAACACAAGCUUCAAUGAAAAAUUCUACUCAUUUAGGCACAAUAGAAACUUGAAGAAGAAGGCUUAUAAAUACCAAAGGCUUUGAAGAAGAGCUGUAACUAAUGAACCUACACGAAAAGAUUCAAAUUCUCUUGUUCUUUCUUCUCAAGCUUGUAUAUCCAUUAGUAAGACGAUUAAGAACUAGUUAGCGAGCCAACCAAACAACAAAUAUUUUGAUUUGUUUUAGAGCCAUUAAUGGCUUCGUAGAACAAAAAAUACUAGGUUCUUCAAGCUUGUUCUGUAAGAGUCAGAAGUGGCAGUGAAAAAUAAUACUUGUAACAUGUUGGAGUUAGUGAAACUUGGUGGUUUGCUCGAGAUGCAGAAACUUUAAUGAAUUUGUUAACACAACCGAUCUAAAAGGACGUCCUCAUGCUUCUUAAGCUUUACCCAAAUUUGGCCUUUUACAUUGGUUGUCAAGCAAGUGAUUUAAAAAGAAAAUGUUUUAUAUCAAUUGUGUUUACAAUCGAUGCAAAAAGUAUUGAUGUCCAUCAAAUAAUUAAUGGAUCUCACAAAAAGUGCAUAAGUGUUUCUUUUUAAACAAUUGAGAGACCAAAUUUGACCUUUUAAUAAAUGAGGGAUAAAAUUGAACCUUAAAAUAUAGUUAAGGGACAAAUUGUAUAAUUAAGCCUUAUUUAAAUCUUGUAAUUAAAUUAGGUAAGUGUCAUAUUUAUAAUAAAAUUUGAAUAAAAAAUAUUUAAUGAGGUUAUUUUAAUAAAGGAUUGACUUUCCCAAGAAUCCUGAUACACCGGUGUACCAGAUAAGUAUCCUGCCAACCAAAAGGAUGAAUACUAAAAAUCCAAUACAUCACAAUUAUCAUAAGAACCCAACAUUCAGUCACUUGAAUACCCUUUGGGCUAAUGUCAAAACAUCUAGUAUGAUAAAAGACACUCUAAUCAAGAUUAAAGAGAUAAUUGAACAUUGUAAUCACACUUAAAAUAAGAUUAUCUAAAAUGGUAAUCAUGUAAAAAAAUCUCACAGGUCCGUAGACCGACCAUUAAAGUAAUUAUAAAUAGAUAUGAGAAUCUUGAGGUAAGAGGAUUGUUCAGUCAUUUAUUACUCUAGGUGAAACCUUAUUUGAGUGUCGAAGUGCAUUUUGCACCCAUCCUUCAAAAGAAGAACCCGCUAAGCACACUAAAGCGAGAUACAUCAAAGUGAAAGAUAUAGCAAGGAGAAAGGCAUCUGGGCACUUCAAGCAUGAACAUCAGGUAUGAAAAAAUUUUCUCUCCUACCAAACAUCCUAUAGUUAAUGGAUAUUCUCUCCUCCCUAAUCCCCUUUCUACAUUAUCUUCUCAUUCAUUUCCUUCUUUUGCUAAUUUUCUUCCUACUAAAUGCUACCUUUUAAUUACUUUUCAAAUUUAUCCGAUGAAUUAAGAUAAACAUAUUUUUUAAAUUGAAUAACAAUUGUAAUAUUUGUGUGUGAAAACAAUUGUAAUUUUUUUAUUAUUCCAGUUAUGGGAGCCAAUUGUUAAACCACUAUUUAAUAUUCAUGAGGAUAAAAAUAUCAAACAAUUAAUGAUUUGUUUCAAGUGGCCUUAAACCGACAGUAUGCCAGAGGACUUGUUUUCUUGAGUAUAGGUUCAUGGACAUUUAAUUAUGGUGAUGAUGAUACACUCGAUUUUUCACUAUUUAAAACUGUAAGUUGAUCUAUCCACUUGAUGAUAACGAAACCUUUAAACUAUGUAUUCUUAAUUGAAAAUAAUAAAGUCUUCAUCAUUGCCAGCGGAUGCACAAGCUACACAUAAAAAUUAGGCUUAAUAUAUUUUAACUUUUUAAUUUCUAAUUUGAUGUAUUUUAUCUUUAACUUUUAAAAAAAAUUCUGAAUUUUACUUUAUAAAUUACUGGUCAGUAAAAUACAACGAAGGCCUUAGAUCCAUGUUGAAAGAAUGGCAAUCGGAGAGUGGAGGCAUAAUCUACUACUCCUACUUUGACACUUUUGCCUGCCAUCAACGACCUUAUUCAGACUCCAGCUUCUUAUGGUACCAUUUUAUACGUACAAUAACAUAUCCAAAUAUUAUUUUCUUUCUUAAUUCUUUUCAUUUCUUUAUUAAAAUUAAGAAACUUUCCUUUCUCUUUUAUUUUUUAUUCUAAUUCAAAUAACUUUAAAAUUUAUUAUCUUUCUUCUCUUUUAUUUCUUUCCUCUACCAAAAGAUGUUUAUUAGUUUUGUUUUGAGUAAAUGACCAUUUUAUUUUCUAAAUUUGUAUUUUGUUAUGGUUUUAGUACUUAAAAUCAAGAAAAAUUCAAAUAAGUUCACGAACAUUUUUAGUGUUUCACUUAAAUCUCUGAAAGUAACUUUUUUUCUUUUUCUUAUUUUGGUUCCUAAACUCAUGUUGUUAUUAUUACCUAAGUCCUCGUACUAGGGGUCAAAAUGAAAAAAGAAAAGAUGUUAGGUUAAGAGACUUAUUUGGUGAGAUACAAAUUUAGGAAAUGAAUUGGCUAUUUACUCUUUUGUUUUUAUAAAGUUGAUUUCUAAUUAAAAUAAGUUUAAAUCACUUUUCAGGAUUUAGUGAGCCAGAGCUCCCAGCCUGCCAUUGUCAAACCUUUGUCCUAACAGAGACAAGAUCACAUCUUCUUUGACCAAAUUCCAUCCUACGGAGGCGUUGCUCGUUUGUUUGUUAUUUGUUAUAAACUUUUUUAUGGCCCUUCAAGUUACACAUUGUAGAAAAUAAUAUUAUAAAAUGUAACAAUUUUAUUAUAUAUAACCCAUUGAUGGCCCUUCAUAUUUAUCCAAUAGCUUAUCUCUAACUUUGAACAUUAACAUUGCAAUCGCGCUUCUGUUUUUAUUUUUUUUAAUUUUGAAAUUUGUAAAAAAAUCUUUCAUUCUCUUUUCACUGCUAAUUUUCUUCCUACUAAAUGCUACCUUUUAAUUACUUUUCAAAUUUAUCCAACGAAUUAAGAUAAACAUAUUUUUUAAAUUGAAUAACUAUUGUAAUUUUUGUUGUUGUUGAAAACAAUUAUUGUUUUUUAUUACUCCAGUUAUGGGAGCCAAUUUUAAACCACUAUUUAAUAUUCAUGAGGAUAAAAGUAUCAAUCUACAAUUAAUGAUUUGUUUCAAGUGGCCUUAAUCCGACAGUAUUUGGAGGACUUGUUUUUUUUAGUAUAGGUUCAUGGACAUUUAAUUAUGGUGAUGAUGAUAGUACCAUGAUAUACUCGAUCGUUUACUAUUUAAAACAGUAAGUUGAUCUAGUCUCUACUUGAUGAUAACAAAACCUUUUAACAAUGUAUUCUUAAUUGAAAAUAAUAAAGUCCUCAUCAUUGCCAGCUGAUGCAUAAGCUAUCCAUAAAAAUUAGGUUUAAUUGUAUAAUUUUUUUAAUUUUUGAUGAAUUUUAUUUUUAACUUUUUAAUUUGACAUAUUUUACCUCUAAUUUUUAAGAAGCUUGUGAAAUUUAUCCUUCCCAUUUAUCUAUUAAAAAGCAUAAUAAUUGAUGGUAAAAUUUGUCAAAAAAAUAAAUAGUUCAAGAGUAAAAUUCGUAAAGAAUAAUAAGUCAGGGAUAAAAAGUACAAUUAUAUUAAUAGUUAAAUGAUGGGAGUAAAAUUCACAAGAUUCUUAAAAUUUGGGAUAAAGUAUAUCAAAUUAAAAAAAUUAAGGUAAAAUUCACCAAAAAUUUAAGAAAUUAAGGAUAAAAAAUACAAUUACGCCUAAAAAUUAUCAUUUUGUCUACCCCAAUGUUUUUUUUAUUUCAGCUUAAUUUAAGAAAUUAAGGAUAAAAAAUACAAUUACGCUUCAAAGAUAUUUACAAUCUUUCUAGUUAACGUUUUACAAAGAGUACUGUGUUUAAUUCAUGGUGGGAAUAAUGAAAAUUGAUUUUGAUUUGAUUUAAACACGAUUUUAUCAAAAUAUAAAUGCUUGGUUAUUGUUAGCUAAAGUUAUUUUGCUUUAUAAGAAGUGAUAAAAAGUAACUUUUAUGUUGAGUUAAAGAAGCAAUCUCGCUUUCAAGAUAAAAGCAUACAAACCCUUGUCGAUUUAAAAUAAAAUUUAAUAUUAUUUUCUUAUUUAUUUUGGUCAAAUAAUUUUUAAAAUUUAUUUAUCUGUUCCACAAUUAGCCUAUGAAACCGUUUUGUCUACGCAUAAUUAGACUUCUAAUAAACCCAAACAUAUUUUCAAAGACCAAAUCUGUAAAAGUAAGAAAAAAAUCAAUUAUUUCCUUAGAUAAAAAUUGAGAACAACUUGGCUAGUUUAAUCAAAUUUCAUUUCCCCACAUUUUGACAAAGUCAUAAGCUAGCUAGCUAAACGAACUACGACUUUUCUCACUGUGUACGUUUUCCAUGCCAAGUCUUCGGAAUCUUGGGCUCUGCAAGUUGAUGGUCAACUAGGCAGUUUUGCCAUUGGGUAAGUGGACCUAUUUAUAAAGGAUGGUCAAUUGAGCAAUUAAUUGAUUAACAUAUGUACCUAACAUAUGUCUAAGAUGCUUAUGUCUUUAACCAAGUACUAGUAGUUUAGAAUUUAAAUUUUAAUUAAUUAUUAGGUAUAAAAUAAAUUAUAUUAAAAAAAAACCUAUUUUACAUGUGUUCAAGAUUUCUAACGAAAAUUUAUUUUUAUUUUCAAUGAAAACAAUUUUAUAAUUAUAAAAAAUAAAACAUACGUGACCAAACACACAAUGUGUGUACAUAACAUAUGCUCUAUAAAUUAGCCUUUACUCCAAAAGACUAUCUCAUACCACAACACAUGUUUCCAAUGGCAAAUAAGUUCUCAGUUAUCAGCCCUUCCUAUUGUGUUCCUAACUCUCUUAACCUACAAAUUAACACAGAGAAAGGUGUUACUUACAACGUAAAGGGUAACCGUGUAUUUUACAUAAAAGAUACUUUGUUCACAUUUCACGGUCGUCGCGUGUUAUGUGAUGAUAAAGGAAGUCCCAUCGUCACUCUAUACAAGAAGGUUUGUUACUGAUCGAGGAGGCAUCUUAUACUCAUUUUUUUUUGAAUUUUUUUUCUAUUAAUUAAAUUAACUAAAUUGGUAUUAUAUAUUCUUAAUUUUUGUUUUUUAUCAGCAAAUAUUAAUUAUUAAUUUUAUUAGUUUUUUUUAGUAAAAAAAAAAUUGAAUCUAUAACCUCUCUUUUUCCUUCUUCCUUUAUCUAUCAAAUCAAUCUUAUAAUUAUUUGGUAUUCUUAAUUUUUGUUUAUAUGUAGAAUGUGACAUUGCACGGGCAAUGCAAAGUUUUCAGGGGUAAUAGCAAUGGUCCCUCUGAGUUGCUCUUUUCGGUGAAGAGAUCGUCAAUAAUCCCGAGUGGGAAGAUGAUUAGAUUAGAUGUCUUCCUUGAAAACAAGAGAAAAGGAAGCAUGUGUGAUUUUAGAGUCAUCGUUCGUGGAAGUAAAAAUUCAUGCACUAUUUAUGCCGGUGAAUCUCCAACUAUUGUUGCCAAGGUGUGUAUUGCAUGUGUUCUGGGCAUGUUUUUAUAUACACAUUAGUUUAAUUACCUAUCUAGUAUGGGUUUGGAUAAUUGCUGAUAUAAAGUGAUGUGUAAUUUAUAUUUAAAUAUUUUUAUGAUAAAAUUAAGUUAAGAGUAAAAUUUAGUAUAAUUUUUUAUUCUAGUUAGAAUUGCUUAACUCAGAAUCAAUUUUAGAUCCAAAAUCGAUUAUGAAUCUUUUUUAACAUAAAAUCAAACAUAUAAUUUUUGUUCUAAAAUCAAUUAUGAACUUGAAAAUAAUUUUUUUUUUUUGCUUUUAACUCAUAAUCAAUUCUAACCUGAAACAAAGCACACAUACUUUUUUCUUGAUAAUUAUCGGAAACCUUGAGCACACACAAAAUGAACAUUUCCCCUUUUAAUACGAUUUAUAACCUAAGGACAAAUUAUAAUUCGAACCCUAAACCACUUUUAUUGUGCCAAACUCUUAUUGAUCCAAACAAAUAAUUAAUACAACUGAAUGGAUAUAAUGACUACAUUUUAUCGCCCUCUUUCAUGUAGAUGGAGAAUAAUGGAGGCUUCAAAGUCUUGGUCUAUCCCAACGUGGACUACGCAUUCAUAGUGACACUACUUAUGAUUAUUGAUGACAUCAAAGAUUAUGAUGUGUUGGUAAAUGCGACGGUGAGUGGUGUCCUAACUGUGGCGACGGGGGGUAUCUUACCUAUUCUGACAUUGUUUGAGGGAGAAAAUUUAGAAGAAGAAACCUUAGAUGGAGAAAACUUAGAAGACGAAUACUUACAAGAAGGAGAAAACAACUCAGGUGGAGAAAACUUAGAUGGAGAAAACAACCCAGAAGGAGAAAAUUUAGAUGGAGAAAACUUAGAAGUAGAAAACAACUUCGAAGCUGAAACUUAGACGCAGCUUCGUAAGUGAGUGCUUGUGGUAUUGUUCUCUAAUUGGCAUUAAUGUUUAUGUAGUUUCAUGUCAAUAAUAAUCUGCAUAAUAAAGGUUUUCAUUAAAUGUCAAUGCAGAUUAGCCAGCUGGUUAAAUUCUUAUUAUGUCGUCGAAGUUUUAUUGUUGUAUAUGAAACAAAUUAAAAUUAAAUCUUGGGCACGAUUUUGGUUAGAACAGGUUGUAUCUUUUCAUUUUAGUGCAUGAAUAAAAUUGAGAAGAUAUUGUAAAUAAAAAAAGAUGUAAUAUUUUUCGUAGUUUUUUUAUAAAAAAAAUUGAGUAAUGAUAUUGGAACACUAUUAUUUUGAAUAUUUAUCAACA
rnacentral:lncRNA from 1 species